rnacentral:rRNA from 1 species
UCAGCUACAAGGGCUCACGUGGAUACUUGCACACAGAGCGAUGAAGACGUGUACUGCGAUAGUCCUCGGGGAGCUGGAAACAACGCUUGAUCGGAUUC